rfam:Aedes aegypti strain Liverpool supercont1.1452 genomic scaffold, whole genome shotgun sequence.
GGCUCGGUAGCUUAGUUGGUAAAGUGCUCGUCUUGCAUACAAGAGUCCUGGGUUCAUAUUCCAGCCGAGCAA